rnacentral:rRNA from 1 species
GUACGUAGGGUGCAAGCGUUUAAUCGGAAUUAACUGGGCGUAAAGCGUGCGCAGGCGGUUUUGUAAAGUCUGACGUGAAAUCCCCGGGCUCAACCUGGGAUUGACGUUGGAGACUGCAAGGCUGGAGUCUGGCAGAGGGGGGUAGAAGUUCCAACGUGUAGCAGUGAAAGUGACGUAGAGAUGGUGGAGGAACACCGGAUGGCGGAAGGCAGCCCCCUGGGUCAAGACUGACGCACAUG